ACGGAUGUAGGGGAUUGGGCGAUUCGAGUACAAUGAAUGUUUCAAUUCUCGUACCGUUCCGGACUGCCAGAAAACGCAUCGCUGCGCGCUUAUACGAGCGCUUAUUGACAGGCGCCGAAACAUAUGGCGCGUUUGUGUAAACGCGUGUUUACGGCGCGUUGCGAUCCAGAUGCUGCCACUCGUCACGAUGCAUUCGAGAGGCUUUUCUCUCUUGCUCGUAGCCUGUGCCUGCCGAAUCGUCUGGCCGUUUCCAGAUAAGGUAUGCCUACCGCCUUCAGUACAGAAGCUGCACGUAUGCGCCCUGAUGAAGAUGCUGCCGAGCUGCAGCACUGACAGCGACUG
rnacentral:lncRNA from 1 species